rnacentral:rRNA from 1 species
AUUGAACGCUGGCGGCAGGCCUAACACAUGAAAGUCGAACGAGUGGCGGACGGGUGAGUAAUGUCUUGGAAACUGCCUGAUGGGGGGGGCUAAGUACUGGGCACUGUAUCUAAUACCGCAUACCAUCAGAUGUGCCGCGAUGGGAUUAGCUUGUUGGUGGGGUAACGGCUCACAAAGGCGACGAUCCCUAGCUGGUCUGAGAGGAUGACCAGCAACACUGGAACUGAGACACGGUCCAGACUCCUACGGGAGGCAGCAGUGGGGAAUAUUGGACAAUGGGCGAAAGCCUGAUGCAGCCAUGCCGCGGGUAUGAAGAAGGCCUUCGGGUUGUAAAGUACUUUCAGCGGGGAGGCGUUACCCGCAGAAGAAGCACCGGCUAACUCCGUGCCAGCAGCCGCGGUAAUAC